AAAUCUUAGACCUUCCAGCCCUUUUGCUCAGAGUCACCAUGGACAGGGACACAUUGAAAAGGCAAUUAUUGGGUUGAUGAUGCUGGAUUUUGAAUUUUUGUUGGUGUUUUUUUUUUUGAGCAGCAAAGGAAGAGAGAAGCAAAUAGACACGAAGGAAGAAAAGGGCAGGGAGAAAAAAGGUAAAAAUAUCAUUUGCCGUCGACUUUGGCUUAGUUGCUGAAAAAUGUCAAGGCUCCAACCUGCUCCUGUUUGAGAUUUGAAGGGAAAGCUUUGGCACAGGGCUGGCAGCAGCGAGUUUACUGCAGGCUCCGUGCCAGACACUUUUCGGGAUGAGAUGACAGGAGCAAGAGCAGGAGAUGAUGUGGGAGGAAGAGGUGCACACCACCAGGGGCUGGCAGAGGGGCCAGCUGGGCCACCUGGGGCUCUUUGUCACCCCAGUAAUGCAGGGGUGACACCUUCGACCCAGACUGUUCCCUCUCAGAAUUCCCAGCUCCUGAUCCACGUCUGCAUGGAGAACUCCUCCUCCUUUCCCUUCAGUGACUCACCCACAGAGGAGGAGAAAAAAGCACUUUAUUCCUCAACAUUGUUAUUUUGGGUCUGGGGAAAACAGAUUGUUCACGAGGCAACAAGAGAACAACUUGCCAGACACAUGGAGAGGUCACGACGGCCCUGAUUCAUCUCCCCAUCCUGGUAGGAAUCUCAAGCCAUUUUGGAUGUCUUUAUCCUGGCAGUGACUCACACCAAGAGCUCCUGAACACCUUUCCAGAGCCUCCUCACUCCCCCUGGGCUGGGAAUCGUUUGCUCGAGGAAUAAGUGAUCAGAAACAGAGGAAUUCAGUUCUCAUCUGCCACAGCCAAGACAGAGGGAGAAGCUGAGCCAUAAAUCGCGGAGUCCAUAAAAAAUUCCAGCUUGUUCACGGAAGUGCUGCGCAGCAGACUCCAGGCUGCAGCUCCUGGUGAGGAAAAUUCCCUCAGAGUGUCCCUCCCUCAGUUUUCCUGGGAUGCAGACCUGACAUGGAAACAGGAGCGAGUUGGAGGGGCCCAAGUGUAUUGUCCAGGUGACCUCCGUGCCCAGCUGCUGCUCCUGGAGAGGAAAAUCAUCAAUGUCAACAUUCCUGCCGUGUUUGCAGAGAGGCACUCAUUCUCCAGGGAAUAUAUCCUUUGAAUUUGUGAUUUAUGGACAGCACUGGGUAUUCCAGAGGGUAGGGCAGGGACCAGGGGCAGGAAUGCUGCCUCACCUGGAGCUGGGGGGCCUUGGGAUGCUGCUAAACCCCGUGGGGCCAAAAGGAACCUUCCCCUCUUGUGCUCAGCCUUUUCUUCCUCACAUUGGCCACAACAAGUGGAGAGCCCCAAGAUGCUGCAGCCCAAGCUGUGGAUUAAUCUCAGAAAAAAAGCCAUUUUAUUUCCUGCUGAAGGAGAACUGGGGCCCUGAAAAUCCAGGAUCCUGCAGCCUCAAAUGCCUUCGCUCCUGGCAGGCUUCCCCGAGGCAGGAGACACCUCAGGCAGCACUGAGGGACAGUGGCAGGCAGAGCUGGGGCACAGGAGCCCAACUUUGCCCAUCCUGCCAGGGCUGCCAGUCCUACCUGGGAACCCCAGGUACCACCAGUUGAACCCUGUGGCAUCAAUCCCAAAUCCCAGUGCUGCAGUGAGUCCCAAAGAGAGCCCAGGAGAGGGGCAGGGAUUGAGGAUGCAGCAGGCACUCAGCUGGGGAUGGAAUUUCUCUCUGGAAAUGAUUAAAUCAGCACUGGACCUUGAGAAAUACAAACACUUUCCCUGCCCAGGGUGUGCUGAGCACCAGCUGGGACCCCAAUCCAGCAGGGCUCUGUCUCCAUCUCUUUCUCCCAAAAUCUGGGAGCUUCCCGAAGCAGCAGCAGCAGACAUGCUCUGGAGUCACAUUUUAGCAUCCCUGAGAGGAGCUCCCGACCUGAGCCAAGGCAGAGGGAGGCUCCCAGAUUCCCGGCGUUGUGCAGAAGGGCUGGGAAGGCAGACAGGAGCACUCUGCAGGUGCCUCUGUUCGGCACACACGGAGCCACAGCCGUGGCACUCCCCUCCUUUCAUCUUCGGGGUGUAAAUGUUGCAGUUCUGGCAGCAGCCUGAGGGCAAAUUGUUUGGGAAAGUUUGAGCAAAGCAGGUUCAGCUGCUUCAAAGUAGGAAGUGGCUGACAAAAAUACAUAAUUGCCUUCUUAAGAAAAUAAAAAGCAACUUUUUUUGGCAGAUUGGCAAGUACACACUUCCUACGCGCUCUCCCUUCUACCCAAAACAUGAUUCCAGCCUUAUUUUUAUUUCAGGAACGAUGAAUUAUGAAAGGGCUCUCCCCUCCUUCUUUCUCUGCCUUUUUCUCUCUGACUCCUUCUCUCCCUCCCCUCUCCUAGCCCGGGCUGUGUUUGUUUAUAACCUCCACACGCAGACCUGGCUCUGAUUUGCUUUAUCCACACGUUGCAGGGCCCCCAGGACCUGGAUUGCUUUCCUGCUGCCAUGGCUUUAUGAAUAAAUCCUUCCCCAAACCCCAAUCCCCUGCAGAGCCACGGCUGAGGGAUGUGUUGGAUAAAUCCCAGUGCCCCUGUCCAAGGGAGAGGUGCCCAUGGGUGCCCAGAACCAAAAGGGAGCUGCAACAGCCCCUCCAGCCCAUGGGAUGGCUUGCCUGGAAUUCUGGCUGAUUCCUGGCUGCUGGAAAUUUGGGAACUUCCAAGGCUGCUCCAUCCUCAGUCCUCAGGGACUGAGCACUGCAAAGGGCAGCCUAAAGCCACGUGGAGAAUCCCCCUCUUGCCAGGGGCAGAAUUCCCCUCUUUCGUGGGGCUUUGCAGAGGCUCCAUCACCAGGGAAGACCUGUGGGUGGGAGAGGCAAUGGCCAGGAAAAGGCUGAUCCUGGCUUCACUCCUUGCUGGAAUUUGCUUCAGUUCCAAGGGACUAGCAGGGCUGAGAGGCAGCAGAAGGGAGCUGGAAAAGUGUCCCUUGGAGCUUCUGGAAUCAGGGAGUGAGGAGGAAAGGUGAGAAAGUCUCCAGGUGCACAGGGAUCCCCCAGCCCUCCUCCCACCGCGUGUCCCCCACACUGUGGCUGUGACCCUGCAAAGCUCCAGAGUGGCUUGAGAGAUGAAGGCAGAGUGUGGGGAGUGCUGAGAGAUCCCCACUGGGAUCCUGGGGGCCUGAACACCCCGCUGGGGACUGGCAGAGCACCUGGGCAUGGAGCUGGGAGUGCCACGGGAACAUCCCCAUCCCCAGACAUCCCGAGGACUUCUUGUGUCCUGCACACCCCUGCAGCCUCUCACAAUGGGAUAACUCUUAAACUCUUGUGUUUGUCCUACUAGGAGCAAGAAAAUAACAAAGAACUGCCCCAAAUCUCAUCCUCCCAGGAAAAAAACUGUCCCUGCCACUCUUCAUUUCAGGAGAGGCAGGAAACACCAAAUUUCCACCCCCUCCCUUCCCUCUGUCCCAUCACUGAUGUGCAGCAGCUGCUCCCUCCCUUUGUUUGUCCCCUCUGGUCACCCUCAGGCACCUGGUGCUGCUGAGAUCCAGGAUUCUGCUCCAAAACCAUCCCACAGCAUCUGCCGAGUGCAUCCCCCAGGCAUCACGCUGGCUCCUGCCCUGCCUCACCAGCCACCCCCGGGCACUGGUGGCUGUGCCAGGGCCAUCAGGGGCUGCUGUCCUGGGCUGCAGGGGCCCAGCUGUGACCAGUGCUGUGCCAGCUGCCAGUGGCCCUCAUGCCUCAGGUUUCAGUUUUUAUAUUUUUCAGGUUCUGUGCUGCUUUAGUGUGUGGGUCUGGGUUCAUAUUAUGGGAUGGUGAGCUCUCUGCACAUAGCAGGGAGACAAAACAAUUCCUGCUCCAGCUGGGGACCAAGGACAAAUGGUUCAAAUCUCAGCCCAAGAGCACAAACACCAUGGGCUGAAGAGAGAAAAACAAGCAGGAUGGGACUGCAUGGGCUGGAGCUGUAAUUGGACAAUUAACUCUAAUAUGCAAAUGAAGCAGAACUUCUAAAAGUGAGAGACCUGUGAGCGGUCGUGCAUUUUGUGCCCAUUUUGGGUUCACCUGGGUGCAGCCCUGGCUGGGCUCUUGUGCUGCCAUGUGACAGGGGCCGUGGCACUGCCAGGGGUGACCUGCACACAGCCAGAGGUGGGGCAGCUCUGAGGGAUCUCACGGGGAAGCAGCAGGAGCAGGACCAGCCCUGGCACCCCCAGGGCUUCUCCUGCUGCCUGUUGGGCACUGGUUCCCUCACACACCUCCAGUGCCUCCCUGCUGGGGCUGCUGCCACCUCUGCCACCACCAGCAUGGUGCCAGGCUGGCACAGCCGCUGUCCCUGCAGCUUCCUGCCCCUGGCUGAAUGCCCUCAGGACAUCUGGGGCCUGGCACAGAUGGAAGUCAAUGGUGCUCUUGGUCCCUGUGAUUUUCUGGGGAAUGAGAGACCCCCAGUGCUGACAGAGGAAGUGGUGGCAUCCAACAAGCAUGGUGGAAACGGGGAUCCCUUCCCAGGGGAGGAUCCUGCUGUGCUCAGGGUCUGCCUGUAUUUCCUGUUCCUGCACCAUGUGUUCGUUUAACAUGGACAGGGAGCCAGGGAGCAGGCAUGGGAUUGUGUGCAACUCCAUUCCCAACUUAUUCCCUCCAAAACCAGGUCUUACCAUCAUAUUUUAUGAAAAAUCUCUUUGCCCAGGAUUCUUCUCCUGGGAAGCUGAGAGGCCUCAGAGAAAAAUAUAAAUAAUAAUUAUCUGAUUUGCUUCUCCUGUUUUGCUGCUUUGCAAUGUGGUGACUGUUUCAUUGGUUUCAUGUGAAUUGUUUUUACUUAAUGACCAAUCAUGGUCCAGCUGUGUUGGGACUCUGGAGAGUCACAAGUUUUCUUUAUAAUUCUUGUUAAGCCAUUUGAUGUAUCCUUUCUCUAUUAUUGUAUAGUUUCAGUAUAGUACUCUUUAAUAUAAUAUAAUAUCAUAAUAUAAUAAAUUAGCCUUCUAAAAACAUGGACUCAGAUUCAUCAAUUCCUUCUCUGUUCCUGGGGACCCCAGAAACUACCAAAACCAGGUUUCUGCCUGUUUUCUCUCCCUCCAGUGGGAUGAGUGUCUUAGGUUGCAAGAUGUAGCUGGGUUUGUGCAUUCUAUCUCCAUCUGUCAGAUCUGGGCAGUUCUCUGCUGUUCAUGGGGCAGUUUU